UAUAAUUUCGAAUAGAUUUGAAAAGAAGAAGAAGAAACAUUUAGAUAUGCAAAUAACUUCUGUAGUCUCCUUGAGUUUGACAAACCGGUGGUAACAAUUUAACAUGAUAUCCUUAAGGUGUAAGUAAUAUGAGAGCGCGUGGAGCCAGUCAGCGCAGCCUAUAUUGGCUUACAUUUCAUCUGCAUCCGUCAAUGCUUUUAUUUGCGUUCAAUACAGCAAUAUUCUAGUCGUCGUCACAACUUUGAUUCCAGAUUCCGACAGCUUUUUCACUGAAAUCUAUCAUCUUUUCUUCGUCACCGGCCACCACCAUCUCCAUGUCGAGAUCCACCACCAUCUUCAAGCCGAGAUCCACGUCUUGUGACGUGCUUAUAAGUCUCUGUUGGGACGAGUACAAUAAACAAUUCGCAAUAAAACUUUCGAAAAGUAUACUCUCACAUGGGUUGAAUUACUCCUUUUGGGAUUGGAAUCCUCGAGGGCCGUUGGAGGAAUUCAGGGUUUAUGUUGUUUUCUUCACUAAAGCCUAUGCUUCCUCAAAAAGCCACUUGCAGAACCUCGCGGCGAUAUUGGCGGAGUGCAUCUAGUCACCAGCACAUACUUUUCUGCCAGUUUUAUUCGUCGAUCCCUCUGUAGUGAGAAGCAGCUGCUUUCUUAAACUUAUGCAAGAGUUCGGACUAGAGGAUUCAGACAAGGUUGUGACGCUAAUGAACCGACGGCCAGAUUUGGUCGUACGACAUCCUGCCUCUCCACUACCCGCAUACGAUAUCGUUGGGUUUAUGGUUCUCACCCUCCGUAGUUUCUGAAGAUUUGAACUCUGUUACUGCGACCAAGGCUGUUGGCUGUUGCUGAGGAGGAAUCUACAACGAGUUUUAAACACAAUUUACAAGGAACUCGACAUUUCAUCUAGGCAGAAUUCUUGGCCUUCUCGGAGAUCACAAAAUUUUAUUGAUUCAAUAGUUCAGAAAAUAGAUAAAUCAGAUCAAAUAGCUCCUGUUGGGAUACGAUAUAACCGUGUAGAAGAAGUAAUAAGGCUUCUCGAUUUAGGCUCUAAGGAUGUUGUCCGAGUUAUUGGGAUUAGUGGGAUGGGGGGAGUAGGGAAGACAGCUCUGGCCGGAGAUGUGUUUCACAAGAUCUCUCACAGUUUUGAUUAUACUUGUUUCCUCACCGAUGUAACCGAUUCCCUUCUUUCAGAAGUACUUCGCGCGGCUCUCCAAGAAGAAUAUGUAGAUGAGUACAAUAUUGAUGGUAGGCUAAGAUACCACAGGAUGCUUAUAGUUUUUGAUGAUGUUGAAGAUGUUGAUAAGCUAGUACAUUUAAGGCAUUUGACAAGAAUUCGCACUUGGCUGGGAGGAGGAAGUAGAAUAAUCAUAAUAAGCAGAGAUCAACAUGUUCUUAAAAUGCUUGGAGUGGAUGAAAUUCACAAGGUGGAACUUUUGAAUAAAAAUGAAGCUCUCAGACUUUUUGUCAAACAGUUUUCAAUAGUCGUUAUCCUUUGAGAGGUUAUGAGGAUCUGACCCUCGAUGCUCUCAAAUAUGCUGAUGGGCUUCCAUUAGCAAUUAAAUCAGUAGGUUCAUUGUUGCAAAACCGAAGUUUCUCAGAGUGGCAGAAUGAGUUGGCCAAACUGCAAGUGGUUCCUGACUCUUCAGUUCUCAAGGUGCUUCAAAAAAGUUUUGAUGGACUAGGCUGGAACGAAAAGACAAUUUUUCUUGAUAUUGCAUGUUGUUUUGCAGGGCAGAAUAUUAAUUAUGUGCAGCAAAUUCUGAGUAAUCGAGGCCAACUUGUAAUGUUAUUCCGUACAUAUUUAUCAUUUGAUGUUGAACCAAUAAUCAGAGUUCUUAUUGAUAAAUCACUUGUAAGCAUAGUACACAAAAAAAUCGAGAUGCAUUCUUUGCUACAAAAAAUGGGAAAAGAAAUUGUUAGGCAAGAAUCUAAGGACCCUGGAAAGCGGAGUAGGAUCUGGUGUUAUGAAGAUUUUCGUCAUAUCAUGGAGACAAACACGGGAACUGAAGAUAUCGAAGUCAUUGUACUCUUGAAUGAAGAAUAUCCACUAGAGGCUCCAUUGAACGCUGAAGGUUUAUCAAAAAUGUCGAAUCUUAGAGUCGCUAUAUUUUAUAAUGUGAAUUUUUCAGGAAGCCUCAAUGGAGAUAGACGACUACUGUCUCUCCAUUUGGGAUAUCUUUCUUGGCACAGAUAUCCUUUUGCUUUUUGCCGGCAUAUUUUGAGGCAAAUGAACUUGAGCACUUAAUCUUGGAAGAUAGCUGCAUCACACAACUCUCCAGGGACGACAAAAAGAUACGUAUGUGGGGGCUGAGGAGUUUGAACCUCAGUGGCUCUAAAAAUUUUGAGAAGGCUCCAGAUUUUGAGCGGCUUCCAAAGCUUGAGAGGGUAGACUUUGAAGGAUGUACUUCAUUAUUGCAGCUUGAUCCAAUUAUUUCAUCUCUUAAAAGUCUUCAGUAUUUGAAUUUGAGAAACUGCACAAAUCUAGUGAGUAUCCCAAAUGAAUUAUUUGGCAAAAGCUCUCUUGAAUUUCUGAAUCUGGCUGGUUGCUCCAAAUUUGCUGAAUGUUUGAGCUUCAACAAACGUUUGAACACAUUGCCUCCUAUCUUGGUGUAGACUUCUAAAAUUACCAUGUUUUUUGUUCUAGUCUUGUGUCUCUGUGCGUGUGAUAUACAAUAGUUGCCAUGUCUCACUGUGAUGGCUCUUGACCCAUAUAUAUAGUACUAGUAAUGUAGUUUAAAUUGGAGCUUUUUUGAAGCCAUGUGUAUCUUUGGAAUGAGAUAUGAUUAUCAUCCUAUAUUAAUGAUAACA